rnacentral:rRNA from 1 species
AACGAACGCUGGCGGCAUGCCUAACACAUGCAAGUCGAACGAGACCUUCGGGUCUAGUGGCGCAUGGGUGCGUAACGCGUGGGAACCUGCACUUAGGUUCGGAAUAACUCCCCGAAAGGGGUGCUAAUACCGGACAAUGUCUUCGGACCAAAGAUUUAUCGCCUUUGGAUGGGCCCGCGUUGGAUUAGCUAGUUGGUAGGGUAAAAGCCUACCAAGGCGACGAUCCAUAGCUGGUCUGAGAGGAUGAUCAGCGACACUGGGACUGAGACACGGCCCAGACUCUUACGGGAGGCAGCAGUGGGGAAUAUUGGACAAUGGGCGAAAGCCUGAUCCAGCAAUGCCGCGUGAGUGAUGAAGGCCUUAGGGUUGUAAAGCUCUUUUACCCGGGAUGAUAAUGACAGUACCGGGAGAAUAAGCUCCGGCUAACUACGUG